CCUCCAUAUUAUCGAUGACAACUCCAUCAUAUUUGAAUUAGCUGGCGCAUUUUUGAAGAGUCGAAGACUGUCUUACGAUGUAGUAAUGACGUCCAGCAGCACUGGAAGCACGAGGGACAUGAAUCUAAUUUGAUUUGAUUGAAAACAAUCUGUUGUCCUCUAAUCUGGACCAGAAGUUUUGAAGUUGAGUAGCAGAAAAUAAUAGCAGAUGAACAAGGAGGCUUUAGGAAAGUUAAUGGUGGCAGGGAAACCGGCAAGAAGUCCUACACUUUCAGUUGCCAUUCCUGGAUCCACAGGCAAUAAUCAGCAGUUCUUCCAUGUCAGAGGACCCACCAGAUGGCUACCCCAUGUCUCACCACUGGUUCCCUGACAAGCCUUCAGAUGGAGCAACCCAGCCAUGACAGCACUGCCAACAGAAGUUGGCAGUAAGAUGAGAGAGUUUCUUUGGACGUUCUAAACGGCGGCUUGCCAGAGCUUCUCUAUGACGUACAAAGUCUUCUUCGGAAAGCUUUUCUAGGUUUUCCUAUAAAUGAAAGGAAUGAUUCGAUCCUGGAGUCGAGAUACUCUGGAUGGCGGUCUCCUUGUACUAUGACUCGCAAGCCUUGGGUACCAUUAGCACGUCUGAUCCCACACCACACAAUAUAACCAAGCUGUUCCUGAGAAACAUAAUCACA